GACGAACGCUGGCGGCGUGCUUAACACAUGCAAGUCGAACGGAAAGGCCCUGCUUUUGUGGGGUGCUCGUGUGGCGAACGGGUGAGUAACACGUGAGUAACCUGCCCUUGACUUUGGGAUAACUUCAGGAAACUGGGGCUAAUACCGGAUAGGAGCUCCUGCUGCAUGGUGGGGGUUGGAAAGUUUCGGCGGUUGGGGAUGGACUCGCGGCUUAUCAGCUUGUUGGUGGGGUAGUGGCUUACCAAGGCUUUGACGGGUAGCCGGCCUGAGAGGGUGACCGGCCACAUUGGGACUGAGAUGCGGCCCAGACUCCUACGGGAGGCAGCAGUGCGGAAUAUUGCAGAAUGGGCGGAAGCCUGAUGAAGAAACGCCGCGUGCGGGAUGACGGCCUUCGGGUUGUAGACCGCUUUCGCCUGUGACGAAGCGUGAGUGACGGUAAUGGGUAAAGAAGCACCGGCUAACUACGUG
rnacentral:rRNA from 1 species